AGAGUUGAUCCUGGCUCAGGAUGAACGCUGGCGGCGUGCCUAAUACAUGCAAGUCGAACGGAGAUGCCUUUCAGAAGCCUUCGGGCAGACGAGUUGGUAUUCUUAGUGGCGGACGGGUGAGUAACACGUGAGCAACCUGCCUUUCAGAGGGGGAUAACGGCUGGAAACGGUCGCUAAUACCGCAUGAUAUACCGAAGUGGCAUCGCUUUGGUAUCAAAGGAGCAAUCCGCUGAAAGAUGGGCUCGCGUCUGAUUAGAUAGUUGGUGGGGUAACGGCCUACCAAGUCGACGAUCAGUAGCCGGACUGAGAGGUUGAACGGCCACAUUGGGACUGAGAUACGGCCCAGACUCCUACGGGAGGCAGCAGUAGGGAAUAUUGCACAAUGGGGGAAACCCUGAUGCAGCAACGCCGCGUGAAGGACGACGGUCUUCGGAUUGUAAACUUCUUUUCUUUGUGAAGAAUUCUGACGGUAGCAAAGGAAUAAGCAUCGGCUAACUACGUGCCAGCCGCAGC
rnacentral:rRNA from 1 species